GGAUGGGAGAGAAUAGGAGACGGAGAGGAGAGCCGGGGUUGACAGCAAGAGGUCCAGAGGUCAACCUUUCGGAGUGUGAAUUUACUGGCCUGUGAAAAAAGACAUGGACGUUAAAGCCACUUACUUCGGAAGACAUCCAACUGAGAGCCAAAAAUGUAAUCAAAUUCAAAGCAUCUGAACACCCUUAAUGUACACGCCAAUGAAAUCAUUUGGCAAGUUCAGUAUCUUCCCGCUUAGCCUACUGAUUUUAGUCUAUCCUCACAACUGAAGACCUGAGCAAUGAGCUUUUUUGUUGUUGUUGUUGUACUAUGCCUGUGUAAUUGAUUACAAACACACACACACACAUAUAUACAAAGGUUUGGACACACCUACUCAUUCAAGGGUUUAUCUUUAUUUUUACUAAUUAUUUUUACUAAUUUUCUACAUUGUAGAAUAAUCGUGAAGACAUCAACACUACGAAAUAACACAUAUGGAAUCAUAUAGUAACCAAAAGUGUUAAACACAGCAAAAUAUAUUGUCUGGAUCGACUGAUCGUCAUGUCUUAAAGUAACCCCUCCACCCCCUCUUCAUGUCUUAAAGUAACCCCUCUUCAGAGGACAAAUAUCUUUGAGCUUAUUUUAACAGCUUUUUUUGCUACAUAUACAUUUUGCAUACAUGGUACUUUUCUAUAAAGCAGUCACAUAACAGUAAUACAUUACCAAACAUGAGCUCUUUAAUCCCAGCCCUCAGCCAAUCCCACCUAUCACCAUAGAUCACCCUCGUUUGGUUUCCAUGUGCCAUAUAUUUUUCAAUUGUGCUGUGAUGUUUAACAUACUUUAACCUUUCUAAUCGUAUAGCAUCCACAGAUUGUGAGCUAAAGAUGAAAAUCUUUCCUACGAGUAUUAUUUAUUGACUGACGAUGGCUGUCCCAAUUCGCCCAACAAUGCUAUUUGUAAGGUUAAUUAAAGUGCAUGUUGUGAUUUUUUUUUUUACCAUUCCUGAACCUGUGACCACAAGCAAGCUACAUAGAUCAUUUAUUUUGGUAUUGCCCCUAUUGAGCUACAGAGCUGAGAAUGUUGUAUGCCCCAUAUAUAAAGCAUUUUGUUGGUGGCAUAAAUGUUAUAUCAUUGAAAAACUCAAGUUUUGAAGCAAGUGCUUUUUUGAACAGUUCAUAAACCAUGUGCCAUGGAAUCGUAUGGCGCAGCUGUCAACAUUUGUCCUCAGAUGAAACUGGUAUAUUUUUCUUUUUAUGCCAAUUUCUUUUCAGACAAUUUGUAUCUUUAAUAUAUGGCAGGCAAACAAGUUCCCUACCUACUUCCCUUUUCCACUUGCCUCCUCCAUAAUUGUGGUAGUGCUGCAAUCAGUUGGUUGGAAGUUGGAUUGUGCAGACAAUCCCAUAUAUUUUCUAUUUCUAACUGCAUGUGUGACAUAACUCCUCCGUUUUUAUUCAGAAUAUCAUAUGUAUAUAUACACACAGUUGAAGUCAUUAGUUUACAUACACUUAGGUUGGAGUCAUUAAAACUUGUUUUUCAACCACUCCAAAUUUCUUGUUAACAAACUAUAGUUUUGGCACGUCGGUUAGGACAUCUACUUUGUGCAUGACAAAUAAUUUUUCCAACAAUUGUUUACAGACAGAUUAUUUCACUGUAUCACAAUUCCAGUGGGUCAGAAGUUUACAUACACUAAGUUGACUGUGCCUUUAAACAGCUUGGAAAAUUCCAGACAAUUAUGUCAUGCUUUAGAAGCUUCUGAUAAGCUAAUUGACAUCAUUUGAGUCAAUUGGAGGUGUACCUGUGAUUCAAGGCCUACCUUCAAACAGUGCCUCUUUGCUUGACAUCAUGGGAAAAUCAAAAGAAAUCAGCCAAGACCUCAGAAAAACAAUUGUAGACCUCCACAAGUCUGGUUCAUCCUUGGGAGCAAUUUCCAAACAUCUGAAGGUACCAUGUUCAUCUGUACAAACAAUAGUACGCAAAUAUAAACACCAUGGGACCACGCAGCUGUCAUACCGCUCAGGAAGGAGACGCGUUCUGUCUCCUAGAGAUAAACGUACUUUGGUGCGAAAAGAGCAAAUCAAUCCCAGAACAGCAGCAAAGGACCUUGUGACGAGUGUGAAGAUGCUGGACGGAAACCGGUACAAAAGUAUCUAUAUCCACAGUAAAACGAGUCCUAUAUCAUAACUUGAAAGGCCGCUGAUAAAAUUAUUUAUAUGUCUAAAGAUGAUUAAAUAAUUCCACUCUGAAACCAUAUAAUUGUAUGAAAUUUAUUAAAAUCGUAAAACUAUAAUCUGAUGUGUGUAGUUUUAGUCAGAAUUAGAACAAGGACCUUUUGUUCCUCUUUAGUAUGUAAGCAGGGUGCAAGUGUGAAACAAAUGAUAAGAGGAGCUGUCGACAGACAAGCUGGACAACUGUGUUCCUUACUGGACAUUCUGUCUCCACCCGUGGAGGGGAGAAACUUUUAGGCUUGCAGAAAAUUAUGAAACAUGUUGCAGAUUAAACAAUGUAUCUGUGUAGUGGAAAAACACAGACUGUCUGAGCAAGGCGUAGCUUAAGAUUCGAACUUGUCUGUGUGUGUUAUAAAGACUGGGUUUGCAUUUUUGAUGUUAGAACGUUCUCGUGAAUAAACUUUGACUAUUGUAAA